GUUUUUAAAGUAUUUGUUGUGCGUCAUAUUGUCACUUUGUGAGUUUUCUCCUGAACAGCAGCUCCUCCUUUUUAUACACCAGAAUAAUGAUGAUGAUCGGUGUUAGAAGAGCGACUGGAAUCAGAACCACAAAAAUCCUGUUCCUAAUUUUCCCUCUGUUGGAUCUCAUCCGCUUCACAAAUUCCCAUUCUGCACAGAAACACAUGACAGCAUUACAGGAAUUGUGCCAGAAAACAAAAGAAGAUCUUGAGAAACUGAAGAAAACACAUCAGUCUGAAUUCAGGACUCCAUUAGAUCCAGCUGAUGAAGGUGUCAACAUAAUGAAUCCAGUGAAAGCACUGAUGAAGAAAUAUGAUCAUAAUCUUCCUCAUAGUCAUCCUCCAGUCCAACCAAAAGUUUCUCUGAGGGAAAAAGAUCAUCGCUGUUGACUGCAAGAGUGAUGAGUUUGAAAUGCAUGUUUACUUGACAAAUGAACAUGUGUGCAGGAUGAAGAAGAAUCGAUACAUGACUUUGAAGUUACCUUAAGAAUAGAAUCUUAUCUCUGUUCCUUUAAGAUAUUUAUAACAUUCUAUUGUAAUGCAAUGAAUCAUGGAAAAUCAAUGGAAGUUGGUACAAUAUUAUUUUUUAACAUUUUGUGGCAGAUUUAUUCAAAACCAGGCAGCAACAGAAGUGGGUAAAAUAAACAGCAAAGAACUG